AGAUUGAACGCUGGCGGCGUGCUUAACACAUGCAAGUCGAGCGGUAACGCGGGAGCAAUCCUGGCGACGAGCGGCGAACGGGUGAGUAAUGCUUGGGAAUCUGCCCAUUAGUGGGGAACAACCAGCCGAAAGGUUGGCUAAUACCGCAUACGCCCUACGGGGGAAAGCGGGGGCUCGUAAGACCUCGCGCUAAUGGAUGAGCCCAAGUCGGAUUAGCUUGUUGGUAGGGUAACGGCCUACCAAGGCGACAAUCCGUAGCUGGUCUGAGAGGACGACCAGCCACACUGGGACUGAGACACGGCCCAGACUCCUACGGGAGGCAGCAGUGGGGAAUAUUGGACAAUGGGGGAAACCCUGAUCCAGCGACGCCGCGUGUGUGAAGAAGGCCUGCGGGUUGUAAAGCACUUUUAGUGGGGAUGAAAAGCCUAGGGUUAACACCUCUGGGUCUUGACCUAACCCACAGAAAAAGCACCGGCUAACUCUGCGCCAGCAGCCGCGGU
rnacentral:rRNA from 1 species